GGGCUUGACAUCCCACGAACCUGCCUGAAAGGGCGGGGUGCCCGCAAGGGAUCGUGGAGCCAGGUGGUGCAUGGCUGUCGUCAGCUCGUGUCGUGAGAUGUUGGGUUAAGUCCCGCAACGAGCGCAACCCUCACCCCUAGUUGCCACCGGGUAAUGACGAGCACUCGACGGGAACUGCCUGCGUCAAGCUGGAGGAAGGCGGGGAUGACGUCAAAACAUCAUGCUCCUUACGCCCUGGGCUCCACACGUCUACAAUGGCCAGUACAAAGGGAUGCGAGACCCCGAGGUGGUGCUAACCCAAAAAGCUGACCUAAGAUGCAGAUUGCAGUCUGCAACUCGACUGCAUGAAGGAGGAAUCGCUAGUAAUCGCGCAUCAGCCCGGCGCGGUGAAUACGUUCCCGGGCCUUUGUACACACCGCCCGUCACACCACGAAAGCUUACUGUACUCGAAGUCGCUGAG
rnacentral:rRNA from 1 species